UAACUGACGCUCAGGCACGAAAGCAUGGGUAGCAAACAGGAUUAGAUACCCUGGUAGUCCAUGCCGUAAACGAUGAUUACUAGGUGUGGGGGGACUGACCCCCUCCGUGCCGCAGUUAACACAAUAAGUAAUCCACCUGGGGAGUACGGCCGCAAGGUUGAAACUCAAAGGAAUUGACGGGGGCCCGCACAAGCAGUGGAGUAUGUGGUUUAAUUCGAAGCAACGCGAAGAACCUUACCGGGGCUUGACAUCCUGAGAAUCUGCCAGAGAUGGCGGAGUGCCCUUCGGGGAAUUCAGAGACAGGUGGUGCAUGGUUGUCGUCAGCUCGUGUCGUGAGAUGUUGGGUUAAGUCCCGCAACGAGCGCAACCCUUGCUUUUAGUUGCUACGCAAGAGCACUCUAGAAGGACUGCCGUUGACAAAACGGAGGAAGGUGGGGACGACGUCAAAUCAUCAUGCCCCUUAUGUCCCGGGCUACACACGUACUACAAUGGCCGUCAACAGAGGGAAGCAAAGGAGCGAUCCGGAGCAAACCCCUAAAAACGGUCCCAGUUCAGAUUGCAGGCUGCAACUCGCCUGUAUGAAGUUGGAAUUGCUAGUAAU
rnacentral:rRNA from 1 species